ACGUUCCAGUUGGGCUGUUUUCUUUCUGAAUCAACAUUCAACUUGAUGAUGAAUUUUGUGUCAUUCUAGACACAAGACACUAUACAUACUUGGAAGUUGGAACCAUAUAUAGCAUAUCACUAGACCUAUUGUUAUACUAACAAUCUUGUUACUGCUUAUUUACUUUAAUUCACCAACUUCAACCUCUCUUUUUCUUACUUGAUUUUCGUGUUUUAAAAUCCAAGUUAUGAGGUAGGACUGAAAAGUGCAAAACGAACAUAAUUAGUUAACUGAACCCUAGGAACAACUAUCGAGGGAGGCUAGGAACAUAAGUUUUAUUUUCUCCUAUAUAAUAAUCACACACGGACAUAGAGAAGUGUUCUACGGAGGAAUGACUUGUCUGCCAAAACUUAGUCUACAAAAUUGGGUAGCCGACAAAAAAGAGAGUUAACUGAACCUAGACUAGAGCGAUUGUGACUGGUUACACUUUGAAUCUAUAGAUCUUUUGUGUAAACCUAGAGCGACUAAGACGUUGUGGUUGUAGAUCAACUAAAUAACUAAGAAAUUUAUACAAUGUAAAACAAACAAGCACACGUUUUAGGUAUUUGCAGGGAUCAUAGAAAUCAAGCAACAAUGAAAUGUAUACUUCUAGGAAAGGAAUAAGAAUCUUCUAAAACUCACAAUAUGAAAUCUUGAUAUCUUCUCUAAUGUAUCUUCACCAUUGAUAUUUUUAAAACUCAGAAGUUUUUUAGGUUAAAAACCGAUUUUUUUUUAAAUAUUUUUAAACCCCUACAUUAGAAGUUAAUGAUCUCACAUUGUGAAAAUACAUUACAUUGGUACCUAACUAUGAAAUAUUUUAAAGUUUGCACUAUAAAUAUCAACUAAAAUUUUCUAAAUCUAAUCCCAAUUUUCACACAAAGAUUUUCCACUAAAAUUAUUCAUUUCAUUCGAACUAAUUAAAGAAAAUCAAGAAAUACAUAUAUUUAUCGAGGGGGGGAAAUAGUCAUUUAAAUCAUAAACUUUCAAAUUUGGUUGAAAAACAACAUGAACUUUACCGUGGACCAUUUAAAACAUCACUUUAUCGUGACUAGCAAUUUAAAGCUUCACAUAAUCCUAAUCCUAAAACUUUGUAUCUCUCCCUUUCUUUUCUCUCUUGUUUCGAUCGAAGGCGACUCAGAAGCUCAAGAACACAGGAAGGAGUAACACUUUUCUAUCUGGUUUUAAUUCAAGAAUCACAUAUCAACACGGAGAGUUUGUUUCCAUCAUGGAUAAAGAAGCGACGUCGAAGGAUCGAAGAGUUUCAACUCGAAAAUCAGCUUUACACAAGUUCAGCGUAAAAGGAUUUAUUGUGGACGGGAACAUCAUGGAUGAGAGCUUCUUAGACGGAUGUAAUAUGAGUGAAGCAUCGUAGAUGGUUAUGUUGUAUAUAGUUUUAUCAUGGAUGAUUUGUUUCUCUGAAACCUGGAAAUAUAUCUAUGUAUUCAUGGAUUAAAACUAAUAAAAUUAAUAAAUGUGAACAUCAAAUCUUAAAACUUA